rnacentral:rRNA from 1 species
AUGGUACUAACACACCAAGUUUGUCGCCUUCUUUCGCUUUUAUAUGUGUGGUAUUUGUCUCUACGGUGUUUUCCUGGCGAGGUCUCAUGCCCACCGUGCCUGGUUCCUCUUGAGGCUCCUACUCCUCCGACGCCACCGGCUCUUGAUGCGGAUGCUCCUAAGGUUGCCAAGGACGCAUCUAAGCUUGCUGAUGAGACUGUGGUUUGUGCUUAUGAGCAGCAGGUUUUGGCCUAUGAGGAGGCUCUUCCGUCUUAUCGUGAUGCUCUGUCUACUUACACUCGAUGGUUUGAUGUUGAUGCUUGUGUUGCGUCUAUUCUUACUUCCAGUGUUCUGCCUCAGUUUGCCUCUGAAUUUAUGGGCCUCGCUACCGUCUUCGGGUUGUGGACAUGUUUUUGCCAGUGCUAUCAGCCCUCUGGUGACGCCUUAUACGUGUGCGUGGUUCCCCAGGAGCAUGCUCUUCAGCAAGGUGUCUCCACUAUUGAUGAUUCCUUUUUUUUUUGA